rnacentral:lncRNA from 1 species
GGAUAAUGCAUUAAAAAGAAGGAGAAAAUCUUUUGAAAUGGAAACACACAUCCCCUUUCUCUUCCUAUUCAGUAAAUUGCUCAAAACAGGGCAUUCAGACGGAAAAUGGAGAAGCAAUCCGGUGCCACUCCCAGAGUCGACGCCCAGAAGAGCCGGCUGGGUCUGCGAGGAGCAACAGAGGAAUCGGUUCACAGGCCGCUGCUGCUGGAAGGUCCCCGGCGCCUCACAGCUUUAAACUGAAAGGUCACUGCUACCCGGAAGUCCUGUAGGAGCUGAAUAACUGUGAGAACCCUGGACAUGCCUGGAUACCACGGUGCGCAGAGUGGCACGCAUCGGGAACGAUGGGUGGCCUCUGGUAGCUAAGCACCUCAGUCCUACAACCACAUGGAACUGAGUCUUUCUGAAGAGCGAGCUAGCAAGAGGACACUCAGCCUCAAAUAUAGCAGCACCAGCUCCUCUCUGCUUUUAGCCUGCCCAGUGGACCCACUUAAUAUCUGUGGAAUUCUGGCCCCAUGGAUGUUGUGACGUAUAUUUGUUUAAAGCUGCUAAGUCCUCUAUAAUUUAUCAUGCAAUGCUAUGAAACUGAUACAUUCAGCAACUACAUUUAAAAGCUUAGUGUGCACUUUAUCAUAUUGUAGAAUUAAUCAACAGAUUAGAGUUCAGCCAGAUUAUGUAACUUGAACAUUUUAACAUUGUAACAUUCUGUUAAACUACUAAUAAAGCCUAAGAGUAUUCUGUUACGUUUUUAGUGCUAUAAGGUUGUACGGAUAUAAUGGCUUAUAUGGUCAGUAUUCAUUUAGAUUUACCUGCACCUUUAUCAUUUUCUUUUCUUUCUAUUUCAUCCCAGCUCUUGUAUGACUCUCAUCUGGAGCACAUUACUUCUUACUAGUGAUUAUACAAGGUAGAAUUUUCUUUUAAUGACAUCAUGCAGAGAAAAACUUGGUUUUUGAUUGCCUAAAAGUAUUUUUCCUGUAUCAUUCUCUCAUUCUUGGAAGAUAUUUUCAUGUUAUAAUAUUUUACAUUAACAUUAUUCCAGCACCCUGAAGAUAAGCAUUCAAUAAUUUCUCAUUUUCAUUGGUUGUGAAAUCAGCUUGAGUGCUGCCUUUUAAUUAUUUAACUUUUAA